GUAGGUGGCAAGCGUUGUCCGGAAUUAUUGGGCGUAAAGCGCGCGCAGGGCGGUCCUUUAAGUCUGAUGUGAAAGCCCACGGCUCAACCGUGGAGGGUCAUUGGAAACUGGGGGACUGGAGUACAGAAGAGGAAAGCGGAAUUCCAAGUGUAGCGGUGAAAUGCGUAGAGAUUUGGAGGAACACCAGUGGCGAAGGCGGCUUUCUGGUCUGUAACUGACGCUGAGGCGCGAAAGCGUGGGGAGCAAACAGGAUUAGAUACCCUGGUAGUCCACGCCGUAAACGAUGAGUGCUAAGUGUUAGGGGGUUUCCGCCCCUUAGUGCUGCAGCUAACGCAUUAAGCACUCCGCCUGGGGAGUACGGCCGCAAGGCUG
rnacentral:rRNA from 1 species